rnacentral:rRNA from 1 species
UACGUAGGGUGCAAGCGUUAAUCGGAAUUACUGGGCGUAAAGUGUGCGCAGGCGGCCGCGCAAGUCGAGUGUGAAAGCCCCGGGCUCAACCGGGGAGGGUCACGCGAUACUGAUCGACUCGAAGGCAGGAGAGGGAAGUGGAAUUCCCGGUGUAGUGGUGAAAUGCGUAGAUAUCGGGAGGAACACCAGUGGCGAAGGCGACUUCCUGGCCUGUUCUUGACGCUGAGGCGCGAAAGCUAGGGGAGCAAACGGG